rnacentral:lncRNA from 1 species
AAAUGCUCCGCAGGGCCAGGCUCCCGGCUUGCACAGCUGGCUGGUCUUCCGCCUGGACAGACGUCAUGAAUGUGGCUCAGACCCAGAGCGCGGCCCCACUCGUUUCGGGGAGGACAGGAGUUGGGUUUAAUUUGGGCAACAUGCAGUGCCGUGUGUGAGCGGAACACGCAUUCCCGUGGGGUUAGAAACGUCCAGCUCCUUAUGGGGGUCAUGGUCAGAAUGGCCUGGACCUUCACUACGGCCAGCCCCUGACCACUGUGAUUCUGCGGGGCUGGGGCUGGGGCUGGGCCUGGGCCUGUGCUGCAGGUGAGUCCUGCCCAGGUGGGGAGUGCUCGGAGGUCAACAGCACUAUUGCCGUGUUAAUCCACCCCCCGAGCCAAUGCUUCCCACACUUCGCUUCAAUCACGCGACAGUCCUGAGCGGAUGGAGUGCACUGGUGUGAUCUCAGCUCAACCUCCGCAUCCCAGGCUCAGCGACAGGGUUUCGCCACGCUGCCCAGACUGGUCUCAAUUCCUGGGCUUAAGUGAUCUGUCUGCCUUGGCCUCCCAUCGUGCUGAGAUGACAGGCGUGAGCCACUGCACCCGGCCCAGGCUGUUUUCAAUUCCCCGUGUUCUGCUACCUUCCAGGUGGGGCGGGCUGGGAGGCCUCUUCUAGAGGGGCCCUCAGGCUGCUCCAAGCCCUGGAAUGCAGCCCUGGUGGCCUCAGAACACCCCAGCAGGCUGGACCCGUGCCUCUGCCCCAGGGUGUAGGGUCCGGGUGGCCUGGGGUCGUCCCCUUGGGAGCUGCAUGGGUGGCCGCUGCUACUCCUACCUGGGAGGACAUCCCGUGGCAGGGGUAGAGGAUCGCCCGGUCGCCGUCCUCCGCUCCCUGGUCCAGACAGUAGGCACUGGCUUUGCUGUUUCUCACCUGCAAGCAGAAGCCCCAGGAGAAAGUCCAGAGUCACCCGAGGGUGCGGCCCCAGGGAGCUUCACGCAGCCAGCUCUGCAGCCAGCACCUAAGGAGGAACCCUGACAGCCCUCUGAGAACAAGCCCGGGCCAGACUGCUGGGGGAUGUGUUGUCAUCGGGCAGCCAACCUCCAGCCUCCAGAACAGGCCCAUCGGAGAUCAGCACAGCCUGGAUCAGGCCAGCAGCACUGCCUGGGUGGCCCCGGCUCGUGAGCAAGUGUAGAUGCUUAUUGCUUUUGUCCACCGCGUCUCCAGGCUGCUGGGUUUGCAGCAGCAGCUGACCCAUCCACCACGGCCACCACGAGAGGUCACACAGGUACCACUUGAAGCUGCGACACUUCAGCCUCUGACGCAGGGCCAGCCUCUCAGACACGUCCCCGAAGUCCACCCCUGGGUUCUGCAAGGCCAGAAGUAGAGGGUCUGAGGCAGCUGCUCCUGAUGGGAAGGACCCUGCCAGAGGCCAGCCCCGGCCUGGACAGACGGCCCCUGCUGCAGCCGGCUCGUCCACACCCACCCGGGCCCAGGAACCUCCUGCCUGAGAAGACGGCCCUGCUCACCUGGCCUUACUGCACGGCAUCAGCCUGACCUCUGGAGGGUGGAGACUGAGGUCAGCCAUAUCCAGAGACCAGCCUGGCCUGAGUAGGACAGAAAGGCCGAGGCAGGGAGUGUUCACACACUCUGCUCGAUUCGGGCUGGGACGUGGGUCCUCCCCUGCCUUCAGGCUUGGAGCUCACGCCACCGGCUCUCCUGGGCGCCUGCCAGCCGACGGCCAAUCUCGGUACCCUCAGCCCCCGUAACCGGGACAGAUCCAGAGUCCGGGGCAGGAGGGAGCCGCUCCCUCCUCGCCGAGAUGACCACACAGCACGCAGCUAACGCCAGGCUCCCUGACCCCGG